GUCCCUGACUGGCUUUGACACAAUGAGCCACAUGAUACUGGAGUGGUUGCAACAUGCUGCUCUCCUCAGCACGUUGGAUGCAAAGAGCUGUUGAAGACACACACAGACUCUGAUGCUCUGAAGGGAAAAGUAUCUGCAGAUGUAGGUGUGAAGGUCGCUUGAGACGGUGUCCAAAUUAUCUAGCGUCCCGGGGGGGAAUGUGGCAAAACAUGGAAAAGAAAAACCGUGUGAGAGAGAACAAAACUGCUAAGCAAUUUUGCUCCAAAUGUGAGAGCACGAAUUGAAGUCUGAAACUCUUUCAAAUAAAUGACUGACAUUUAUGGCAACAAUGUUGGUGCAACAAAGCAAAAUUAUAUUGGAUGGUAACCAGAUUCCAUAUUUAAUGUUUGUACUGUCAUAAAAUACUUCACAUCUGUUUUUUCCAAAGACAAUAAGUGGACAAGAAAAAACAGUGCUUAAACCAUGUUUAAGAAUUCUCCAU